GUGAAAAAACUGUCAUCCAUACAGUGUUACGGGCACUGCCUAAGGGAGGCUCUCAGAAUCUGAGUGAGGUACCAGCGUUGUGUGGGGGCUUGGGUGCACUGGUGGCAGCCUGGCCUGGUUAUUCGAGGAUGAGAGAGUUGAGGAAGAUGUCUGAAGGCGAAGGUUUCCGCAGCUGGCAGGUUGAACUAACAAUUGGUGAAGAGAUAGGAUUUGGGUCAGAUGCCCAGCCAGGGACAAAUAGUUGUAUUUGUUGAGGGCAUACCCUUUAUCCUAUCCUUUGGAAACAUAAGAGUCAUCACAGGCCUUUAUUAAAACAGAAUUGCCUGCAGCUCCAUAGUGACAUAAGAAAGUAGUCUAUAUGGCAAAAAUAAACUGAAGUAACAGAUUUUCCCACUAUAUUUGCAAAAAAUCCUUAAGUCUCUAGCCUUAAUUUACCAUUUUCUAGGGAGUAUUUUGCCAGCUGAAAUGAGUUAAAAUAAGUGCUGCAUGAAAGAUGUGUGAUCUCUUUCAUUUCACCCCUGUAUCCAGUGCUUAGAACAUGGCCAGGUACGGCUACUGGGAAAGCACAGUCUCACAGACAGCUUGCUGUUUGGACUUGGGGCUACAGGGAAGAGGUCAGUAGAUUGCCUUUUAAACAAGAAUCUUUGGAAUUCAGGUGAGAAGGGCUGCAAAAACAGGCAUAUUGAUAAUUUGGGGGUUUUUUCUAUUGCAUUGCUGUUAUGGGAAUAACAUUGUGCAGAUAGCUUUGGGAAUUUGAGGAUGAAGCCAUAAGAUGGGGGAAAUAGAGUGUUCUUGCUAUAUAUGGAAAGAGUGUGCUAUCAUAAAAAUUUUGCAAUGAGCAACAGAGUAGCCUAGUUGAUUUAGUUGAAUUGUUCAUUGGGUAUAUAGC